CUCAAUGGUUCUCCUCUCCAUAAGGAAUUUUGAGGAGACUCUUCCUUUUCCUUGUUUUGAGAAAUGAUCCUUGUUUAUAAGGACACUUGUACUUGUGCCAUGCCUGGCGCUUGAUUUUCAAGGUGUUUGUUGUCAUCCAAUUUGUGGAAAUGACUGCUUCUUUUAACUUGCUUUUUCAAAAUGUGAGCAGCCGCUUGGUCUUUGUCCUUAUGGCUGA
rnacentral:lncRNA from 1 species